rnacentral:tRNA from 1 species
GCGGCCGUGAUCCAACGGUAGGAGGCAGGUGCGCCACACCCGCAGUGUCGGUUCGAUUCCGGCCGGCCGCG